rnacentral:lncRNA from 10 species
AGCAGGCACGGAAGCCCUCGUGGGAGCCGGGAGUUCCAUGGCGAGGCCCCCCGCUGCUGCCCCAAGAAACGCUUGGGUUUGAGAUCUCAGGAAACACGGAGAGCCCCCACUGCGAUGGUGACGGCCCUGGAGUGGGUGGUGCUAAGGAAAGGGCAGCACACCCUUGAGGGCGGGAAGUGAAUGGGUUCCCCUCCACACGCUCUCUUGCCUGCCUCCAUGUAAGAUGUGUCUUGGUUCCUCUUCGUCCUCUGCCAUGAUUGUGAGGCCUCCCCAGCCACAUGGAACUUUGCCACAUUGUAAGAACACUCAAGAAGCCAUGCAGAGAGGGCCACAUGAUGAGGAAAUGAAGCCUUCUUCCAACAGCCGGCACCGACUUGCCAGCCAUGUGAGUGCACCAUUUUGGAAUCAAAUCUUCCACCUCUAAUUAGGCCUUCAGAUGGCUGCAGCCCUAGAUGACUUUUGACUACAAUUUCUUGAGACACCCUGAACCAGAACCACUCAGUUAAGCUGCUCCCAAUUUCCUGAUCCAUAGAAAUGGUGUAAGAUAAUAAAUGUUUAUCGUUGUUUUAAGCCACUAAAUUCAGAAGUAAUUUAUUCCAUAGGAACAGCUAAAAUAAAUACAGUAUAUCCAGA